rnacentral:misc_RNA from 1 species
GGUGUCCACGGAAAGAUUCAAGCUCCUUCAUAGCUCUAAUAUCAUAAAGCUUAAUGAUUUGAUCCUUUCCAGCAGUUAGCACCCAGUUACCAUUUUGAUUCCAUUUGACACAAAGUACCGUGUUUUUGUGGCCAUGACUGCAAAACACACGAAUAGCUUGUUGCAGUGAGAUAGCAUCUGUUUAGAAUUGCUGUUAAGCUAUUUUUGACUUUUUGGCAGAAGUACCCUUCAGAUUAAUUGGCCAAAAGCCAUCAACAGCUGCUCUUGGCAUUUUUUUCUUUGAGUACAUAGGUGGCACAAGACCAAAAAAGGCCAAGUAAUCCUUCUAAGGAAUAUAUGAACAAUGUCCAAUGAACAGCUAUGCUGUCUAAAUGGAUGCCUUAGCCAAUAGCAUUCUUGAAGUAGCACCAAACAUAGCCAUACAAAUAAUAGCAAAAAAUGAGUUUAAUCACAAAGAAGACAAUAUAAUAUUGUACUCACAAUGAGCAAAGCUCUCUCCCAGUUUUGGCAUCCCAAAGUUUUACAAGGUUGUCUUUUCCACCUGAAACCAAUAGAGAUUUUGUAGGAUGCCAAUCAACACUCUUCACAUCCCAACCAUGGCCUGCCUGAGUUCAAAACAGGCAGAAAGAGCUCUUAACAAAUACAUGCAACAGAAGUAGAAUUACAUGUAAGUAAUCAUAUUAUGUUAUACAAGCACAUAUGAUGUAUUUCAUGAAGCAAAAAGCUAACAGUGGAGCCAAAAAAACGGAGAGUAAGGGGGAAAGAAUGCCCCCAGAUCAAAAAUUUUCACGUCACCCCUAAGAGGAGUAAAAAAUAAAUUAAAAAGACCUCUCGGAUCAAAACAUGAACAGCAAAAUAAAUCUAUCAUAAAUUUUAAAAAAAUGCCCUUUGAUUGCAAACACAUGGAUAAGUCCAUACUUCAUAAUUGCUCAACAAACAAAAAUUAAAAUUACCACAUAAUACAUGUCCAAUAGAGAACCCAUAGAUCCAAUGACCACUUUUCACUUCAUUAGAUGGAUGACACUAGACAUAAUUGCUUCAGAAGAAAUCAUUAAUGCCACCAGAAUCAGGAAAUGACUCAAAUUUAGGGCAAUAAACUCAUUAUUGUAUCCAAUGAUAGCCCAAGCACAUUACCAGUUAAUGAACGCUCUUCAUAGCAUCGAGCAAAGUCCCACACUUUAACAGUAGUAUCAUCAGAGCAAGAACAGAACUUCAAAUCUGUCCUACAGAAGCUUACAUCACGAACUGAUUCUUUAUGGGCAGAUUUAUUAGCCUUAACAUUAUUCAUAUUGCUCUGCCAGUACUUAAUUGCACCACCGUCAUCACCAGAGACCAUCCAGUUGUCAUUGUGACUCCAUACCAUGGACCUGAUUGCUUGAUCAUGGGCCUGAAGAAUCAUUUCAAAGUUAAAGGACUGUCCAUUCCAAAGAGUGAAUUCCCCACUUUGAGAGCCUGUGAUUAGACGUCUCCCAUUAGGAGUCCACUGAGAAUAAAAAGGGUAAAGAGGAAAAGUUAACUUGUUUAAGAAUAUUUAAUGCAAUUAGUCCUAUAGGACAAAGGAAAAAAGCAUCAGAAUGAAAAGUUUGAAAACAUCACUGGAAAAUGAAAAUAUCAAUUACACAACCACAUGUGCACACCAAUGUACAGAAACUCUCAUGUUACACCAACUUACCCACAAGUACAGUAUACCACAAGUCUCAAAAUAGCCAACUAAUAAAUAAAUCAAUAAAGGUAAAUGGAGAACCACUAGUUUCCUUAUGUUUGGUUUUUCUGGAUCAUAAGGACCCCACGGAGGACAAAGAAAGAGUAAAAAAAUGUUCAGUCAAGUUACUUGAGAAUAUUUAACACAAUAAGUCAGAUAGCAAACUGAAGACAAGAUCAGAAAGAAAAAUCCUUAUGCAAUGAAAAUAUCAAUUACACAGCAAGCUAACACACAUUCACAUGCCAACACACACAAAUGUGCACAUGUACACACAUUACAAGACCCACUAUGGUUUAUGUUACACUAACCUACCCACCAAGAACUGUACAACACAGGUCUCAAAGAUGGCAAAUUAAUAAAUAGAUCACUAUAGGCUAAAUGAUUAUUGUUAACUUCUUGCAUUUUCUUUUCCCAUAUGAUGGACUAGUUAUCCAAGUUUCAUCAAAUUUGACAUAUUUCAACAAGCCACUUACUCAUCUAUUACUAGCUAUUUCUUUUCUAUAAUUAUUAAUUAACUUUACAGCAUAAGACAAAUCAUUGUAUUGACUAUUGAGAAACAUAUUUGAAGCCAAGUUACAUUUGCAGAAAGAAACUUGAUUAAAGGCAGAGUAGAUGUAGACAGUUAAUAUCUUGACCAUAGAAAUUCAACUUUAAAUGUUCAAACUUUAAAAAGAAAAAAAUUAAGGACUAUACCCUUCAUCUUUUACUUGGAAUUAUUUCUUUACACUGAUUGCAAUUGCUCUUUUACACUCUCUCCUUAACAAAUUCAUUAUUUGUCAAAAUGCAGUAGAACAAAUUAUGGUAUCAAAAAUUUUACUCUCAUUCUGACAUAGACAUACCAAAACCCGAUUAAUUGAACACCGAUUCUUGUUUAGAGAUGUAUGGACAAACUUUGCAGCAAAACUUGUUGAUGGAUUGUCAGAAUAGGCAGUUGUUGGUAACAUAUCAAUUGCUGCUGCUGAAGUGGGUUGCAAUGCUGUUUUGUCUCUUGAAUCCCGCUGCCACAUACGAAUCUGCAUAUAGCGGACAACAGUACUUGUGUAAUCAACUGUUCUCCUUUGGGUAAGCUUUCUCAUCCUUUUUGCACCAAAAUUGUCACCAUGAGCGUCGUAAGGAGGGAGAGGAGGCCCUAAGGCUGAGGAGGGGUGAUGAUAAUCCGCGGGAUUGAGAGUAGUUGAAGAGGCCGAAAGCUGUCUCAUCAUCGGCGGAGGCGGCGGUGGACCCCUGAGGAAGUCCCCGCCCGGCUGCUGGUGUUGCUGCUGAGGAUCACCGUACAUCAUUUUUAUCACAGAAUCUUAAAAAUCCCAACCCCAAAAUCCAGAGAAAUUUAAAGGGGAAAAAAAAGUCAAUAAUGUUAAGGCAGAUUUAGUUGGUGGAUGAAAAACCCUGACCAAUCCUAAUAGGUGAACACAGCAGUGGACAGAUAAUAACCCUA